rnacentral:rRNA from 1 species
CGCGUGAGGGAAGAAGGUCUUCGGAUUGUAAACCUCUGUUGUCAGGGACGAUAAUGACGGUACCUGACGAGGAAGCCACGGCUAACUACGUGCCAGCAGCCGCGGUAAAACGUAGGUGGCAAGCGUUGUCCGGAAUUACUGGGUGUAAAGGGAGCGCAGGCGGGAGAGCAAGUUGGAAGUGAAAUCUGUGGGCUCAACUCACAAAUUGCUUUCAAAACUGUUUUUCUUGAGUGGUGUAGAGGUAGGCGGAAUUCCCGGUGUAGCGGUGGAAUGCGUAGAUAUCGGGAGG